rnacentral:piRNA from 1 species
CAGAGCGGAACUGAGCGCUGCGAAGAU